CUGAUAGAUAGUGUUCAGGUGCUCCAGAUAGACAGUGUUCAGGAGUGGCUGAUAGAUAGUGUUCAGGAGUGGCUGAUAGAUAGUGUUCAGGUGUGGCUGAUAGAUAGUGUUCAGGAGUGGCUGAUAGAUUGUGUUCAGGUGUGGCUGAUAGAUAGUGUUCAGGAGUGGCUGAUAGACAGCGUUCAGGAGUGGCUGAUAGAUAGUGUUCAGGUGUGGCUGAUAGAUAGUGUUCAGGUGUGGCUGAUAGAUAGUGUUCAGGUGUGGCUGAUAGAUAGUGUUCAGGUGUUCCAGAUUGACAGUGUUCAGGUGUUCCAGAUAGACAGUGUUCAGGAGUGGCUGAUAGAUAGUGUUCAGGUGUGGCUGAUAGAUAGUGUUCAGGUGUGGCUGAUAGAUAGUGUUCAGGUGUGGCUGAUAGAUAGUGUUCAGGAGUGGCUGAUAGAUAGUGUUCAGGUGUGGCUGAUAGAUAGUGUUCAGGAGUGGCUGAUAGAUAGUGU